rnacentral:rRNA from 1 species
GACGAACGCUGGCGGCGUGCUUAACACAUGCAAGUCGAACGGAAAGGCCCUGCUUUUGUGGUGUGCUCGAGUGGCGAACGGGUGAGUAACACGUGAGUAACCUGCUCUUGACUUUGGGAUAACUUCAGGAAACUGGGGCUAAUACCGGAUAGGAGCUCCUGCUGCAUGGUGGGGGUUGGAAAGUUUCGGCGGUUGGGGAUGGACUCGCGGCUUAUCAGCUUGUUGGUGGGGUAGUGGCUUACCAAGGGUUUGACGGGUAGCCGGCCUGAGAGGGUGACCGGCCACAUUGGGACUGAGAUACGGCCCAGACUCCUACGGGAGGCAGCAGUGGGGAAUAUUGCACAAUGGGCGGAAGCCUGAUGCAGCAACGCCGCGUGCGGGAUGACGGCCUUCGGGUUGUAAACCGCUUUCGCCUGUGACGAAGCGUGAGUGACGGUAAUGGGUAAAGAAGCACCGGCUAACUACGUG